rnacentral:rRNA from 1 species
ACGGGAGGCAGCAGUGAGGAAUAUUGGUCAAUGGGCGAGAGCCUGAACCAGCCAAGUAGCGUGAAGGAUGACGGCCCUACGGGUUGUAAACUUCUUUUGCCGGGGGAUAAAAAACGGGACGUGUCCCGUCUUGCAGGUACCCGUGCGAAUAAGGACCGGCUAAUUCCGUGCCAGCAGCCGCGGUAAUACGGAAGGUCCGAGCGUUAUCCGGAUUUAUUGGGUUUAAAGGGUGCGUAGGCGGGCUGUUAAGUCAGCGGUGAAACCCCCGGGCUCAACCCGGGGACUGCCAUUGAAACUGGCGGCCUUGAGUACGUUGGGAGUGCGCGGAAUGUGUGGUGUAGCGGUGAAAUGCAUAGAUAUCACACAGAACACCGAUCGCGUAGGCAGCGCACUACGCCGCAACUGACGCUGAGGCACGAAGGCGCGGGGAUCGAACAGGAUUAGAUACCCUGGUA